AUGUAGAGCAAUCUCUGUCUAAGUAGGGAUAAAUUACUCUUAAACAAAAAUCCUAGAUAGUUUUCCCUUCAAGUAAAGCGUCUUGU
rnacentral:pre_miRNA from 1 species